CCAACUGUAUAUUUAAAGAGACUCAUCAGUUAGAGAGAGACUCAACUGCAUCCUAGGGAGCUGACCUAAGAAUCACUGUAGCCAUAUGCAGCACAGGAACCUGAAACUCUAGGCUCAGCUGCAGCCUUUUCAGUGAUGAAGUCAAUGCUUAAGUCUAGACUAGUAAUGAAUAAGGUAGCUGUAAGUAAGAAUAGUUCAUCACCCACUGCUGGGUUUGCAUCCUCCUCCAAAUAGGCCCUCCUUAUUUGCUUCCUGUGGCUGCUGUAGCAAAUUAUCACAAACUGGGAGGCUUAAAACAACAGAAAUUUAUUCCCUCCCAGUACUGGAGUUGAGAAGUCUGAAAUCAAGGUGUUGGCAGGGCCACAUUUCCUGCCGAGGCUCUGAGAAUCCAUUCCUUGUGUCCUUCAGCUUCUGGUGGCUGCCAGCAUUCCUUGGCCUGAAGCUGCAUCAUUCCAGUUUUUGCUUGAACCCAGGAGGCAAAGGUUGCAGUGAGCCGAGAUUAUGCCACUGCACUAAGA
rnacentral:lncRNA from 10 species